rnacentral:rRNA from 1 species
AUGGGUGGAAAUGAUAACCACAAGUAUUUUGUUUGCGCCUUCCAAGGGAUACACACAUCUUCAGUUUCAGAGGCCAACAGGAAGCAAAAGAAAACAUCACAAAGGAUGGGCUGCAACACAAAAAUGAGGGUGAAGGUGCAAGAGGAUGGCACAUGAGUGGCAGUGGACAUUGAGUACAAUCAUAAUCACCAGCUCAUGCAAACUGAUGACAUGCUAGUGUUUUUGCACUCACACAAGAAUUAUGACCCCACUAUCUUGGAGUACGUAAAGCUCUUGCUGUACCACGAUGUCAAGCACACAACAAUCAUGUCAAUGCUAUCUGAAAAUGAAGAUGGAAGCUACUUCCUAAGCAUGACCGGACGAGACCUGCUAAACCAGAAAGCCAUGAAUGCAAGGAAAGAUUAUUUAGAUGAUGUAUUGAAACUUGUUUCAUUCUUCAAAGACAUGAAGGCGAUAAAUGAUGAGUUUUUCUAUGACAUCCAAUCCAAUGCAAGCUGCCGAGGAGCCUAUCAAGACUUUGGCGACUGCGUAACAUUCGACACGACUUACAAGACCAACAGAUUUCACAUGCCCCUGGGAGUGUUUGUUGGAACAAACCAUCACUUGCAGUCAACGAUAUUUGCUAUCGCCCUGAUAAGAGACGAAGAUGCAAAGUCAUUCAAGUGGAUGUUCGGUACAUUUCUACGGUGCAUGAACAACAAGCACCCAACUUGCAUCCUAACAAACCAAUGCCCAUCGAUGGCGAAAGCUAUACCACAAUCAUUUCCAAACACCGUCCACAAGCUAUGCCGUUGGCACAUCUUGAAGAAGUACAGGGAAUACCUCGCGUUGCUGUACAAAAAGUAUAAAACAUUCAAAGAGGAGUUCACAGCUAUAUUAAACUGGCCGCUGAUGCCAACGGAGUUUGAAGAUGCCUGGGCUAAACUCGUGCACAAGUACAACCUGGAGAACGACCAGAUGAUGAUGCAGCUCUGGAGUGAUAGGAAGAUGUGGAUUUCAGCAUAUUACAAAAACAUUUUCUGUGCUAGAAUGACUUCCACACAACGAAGCGAGAGCAUGAACCACGUGCUAAAGAAAGGGUUUGUCAAGGGGACCCAAAACCUACACAAGUUUGCUAGGCGGGUCAAUGCUUGCAUACAAACUCGGAUGCAGAAGGAGAACGAGCAAACAAUGACCAGCAUGGUAUGA